CGGACCUGGCCCGGGGGUACUCUAGAGAUAGAGUUUGAUCCUGGCUCAGAUUGAACGCUGGCGGCAGGCCUAACACAUGCAAGUCGAGCGGCAGCACGGGAAGCUUGCUUCCUGGUGGCGAGCGGCGGACGGGUGAGUAAUGCAUAGAAAUCUGCCCGGUAGUGGGGGAUAACCUGGGGAAACCCAGGCUAAUACCGCAUACGUCCUACGGGAGAAAGCAGGGGCUCUUCGGACCUUGCGCUAUCGGAUGAGUCUAUGUCGGAUUAGCUUGUUGGUGAGGUAAUGGCUCACCAAGGCGACGAUCCGUAGCUGGUCUGAGAGGAUGAUCAGCCACAUCGGGACUGAGACACGGCCCGAACUCCUACGGGAGGCAGCAGUGGGGAAUAUUGGACAAUGGGCGAAAGCCUGAUCCAGCCAUGCCGCGUGUGUGAAGAAGGCCUUCGGGUUGUAAAGCACUUUCAGUGGGGAAGAAAGCCUUGGGGCUAAUACCCUCGAGGAAGGACAUCACCCACAGAAGAAGCACCGGCUAACUCCGUGCCAGCAGCCGCGGUAAUACGGAGGGUGCGAGCGUUAAUCGGAAUUACUGGGCGUAAAGCGCGCGUAGGCGGUCUGAUAAGCCGGUUGUGAAAGCCCCGGGCUCAACCUGGGAACGGCAUCCGGAACUGUCAGGCUAGAGUGCAGGAGAGGAAGGUAGAAUUCCCGGUGUAGCGGUGAAAUGCGUAGAGAUCGGGAGGAAUACCAGUGGCGAAGGCGGCCUUCUGGACUGACACUGACGCUGAGGUGCGAAAGCGUGGGUAGCAAACAGGAUUAGAUACCCUGGUAGUCCACGCCGUAAACGAUGUCGACUAGCCGUUGGGCUCCUUGAGAGCUUUGUGGCGCAGUUAACGCGAUAAGUCGACCGCCUGGGGAGUACGGCCGCAAGGUUAAAACUCAAAUGAAUUGACGGGGGGCCCGCACAAGCGGUGGAGCAUGUGGUUUAAUUCGAUGCAACGCGAAGAACCUUACCUACCCUUGACAUCGUGCGAACUUUCCAGAGAUGGAUUGGUGCCUUCGGGAGCGCAAAGACAGUGCUGCAUGCUGUCGUCAGCUCGUGUUGUGAAUUUUGGUUAAGUCCGUACGAGCGCACCUUGUCCUUAUUUGCAGCCGCGUAUGCGGACUUCUUAAGGAGAACUGCGUACACGAGAGGUGGGACGCAGUCAGUCAUCAUGGCUACGUUAGCCUAACACACGUGUCUUCACCAUUGGGCCGGUAUAACAAAGGUAUC
rnacentral:rRNA from 1 species